rnacentral:pre_miRNA from 1 species
AUUACCUUGGGAUCUUGUUAAAAUGCAGAUUCUGUUUCAAUAGGAUUGAAGCUAAACUGGGUCUAAGAUUCUGAAUUUCCAACAAUUUCCUAGGUGAUGCUGA